rnacentral:rRNA from 1 species
UACGGGGGGGGCAAGCGUUGUUCGGAAUUACUGGGCGUAAAGGGCUCGUAGGCGGCCAACUAAGUCGGAUGUGAAAUCCCCAGGCUCAACCUGGGAACUGCAUCCGAUACUGGAUGGCUUGAAUUCGGGAGAGGGAUGCAGAAUUCCAGGUGUAGCGGUGAAAUGCGUAGAUAUCUGGAGGAAUACCGGUGGCGAAGGCGGCAUCCUGGACCGACAUUGACGCUGAGGAGCGAAAGCCAGGGGAGCAAGCGGG